UAGAGGCAGCCGGAGCAUUGUGGUGUUUCCAUAGAGGGCAAUGUUGAACCUAACCGUCUCCUGAGAAAGCUGCUGACCUUUCUUUCCAAGCUCUCCACCGUAGAAAUGGGAACCUCAUACACAAGUAGUUGAAUAUACUCUGCAUUAGUUGGACACCCAGCAGAAAGACGGAAAUUGAGUAAACACGUGGAGACUGAAAAGAGAUGAAGACAAAAAGCAGUGGAAACAUGGAGAUUGUGAAGAUCAUCAGAUGGAGCAGCUUCAGUGAUAUAAGACCAGACUUCUCUGAUCCACACACACAUGUGAAGAGCUGCUCUCAUCAAACACAGAAGAUCAGACAUGAUGAUGCAAGAACAUUAAAGUCUCUUCUGGACUCUCCAGCUCCUGCAGCAUUCUUCUCUUUAUUAUUUUAUGAAGCAUAUAUUGUACUUGUUUUCUGCAAUUCAGUAUAUAUAUUGCACUGCAUUGCAUUCAAGGAAAGUUUAACACUUCUGAACACUUUUCAAACAAAUAUGAAUAAAGUCCUUGUGUUUUCUUUCUCUCUCUCUAAGAUCAAAGUUCAGAUAUAAUAUAUGAAUAUGUGUUUUUAUUGAGUCACGUAUGAUCCCUCUCUCUCUCAAAUACAAAUUUAGCAGCUAGUGUGACAGUCAUCUC